GUCGAAAUAAAAUAUUAAUUUAUUUAGGACUUUACACUUAUCAAUAAUAGGUUUGAAGACUUAUAAUUCAAACCAAAUUCCUUCCAAAUAUUCAAUGCUUUGAUUGCAAAUACUAUUAUGAUAAAAGAAAAGAAAAGAAAAGGAAAAUCCAACUUUUUGAACUCCCCCUUUCACGAGCUCUUCAGAAAAAGCUAGGGUUUCUCCGCUCCAAAACCCAAGUUUUCAAGGUUGUAUCUCUCUCUUUUCUAUCCACCAGCUCUCGUUCUCUCUCGUUAUUUGAUCCUCCUCUUCAUCUGAUCGAUUCAUUGAUCUUUUGGUGUUCUAGAGACCAGACGCAGCAGCUACUGUUUGUUUCCAAUUUUCCUUCCUUUUUUUUCCCACUCUUUAAAUAAAGAGAAUACAUUAGUUAGUGUAAAGAGAGCACAUUUUGGAAACUUCCAUGUGAAGCAAUUUGCGUUGAAUGUGAUCCAACUAUGCUUUUGACACUUCACUGACUGUAAUUGUAAUUCUAUCACAUGGGAACUCUGUCUCUGUCUCUGUUUCUCUACUCUCUCCUACAAGUGGGUGCUUCAUUUCCUUGAUCUCCUUUUUCUUGGGUACUUCAUUCCCGAGUAACCCGUGAAUUUCGUGGGUUUUCUUUUUUUUUAAUAGGAAAUUGUCCCUAACCUCUCAAGGCUUUUGGGUAAUUUUGAGAGAUUAAGAGCUCUCUCAGGAUGGAAGGCAUUGAUGCUUUCGCUUCGCAUUUUCUAAGAUUCAGGGAAUGUCCUAGCGUUGACAUCGAAGGAUAUUUAUAGCAUUUUUUAUGUUUGAAGAUCGGGGCAUCUCGUCAAGAUUCUGGGUUUAUUUAUUUAGUUGUUUGUAUUUAGUUAGUGAUGGAGGAUAUUGGAUUGGUCAAGCAAGGAUGGAAAUGGCUGCAAACACAGAAAAAUGCCUACUCGCGUGUGAAAAAUGCAGCGUUAUGUUUGAGGGACAAGAUUGGUGUAUUCAUAGAGCGCCAUUGGCCGAUGGUGUGCAGGGGAUUUCUGAGAUUUGGUCAAUUAAUGAGUUUCCUUUUGAUUUGUUGGAAGGACUGCCUUUUAAGGGGUUUCCAGUCAGUUAUCACACUGGGUUCAGCAGCUUUGCUUCUUAUAAUGUGGAGUUGCUUUAUUAGUCUCACUUCAAUGUCUUGUGUGCUUUAUGUCUUGCUUAGUAUGGGAGCUGCAGGAGCUGCUGUUCAGUAUUUGGGUUAUACUCCUGGACUUUUUAUUGUUGGACUCUUUGCUAUUUUAAUUCUGUGGAUGUAUGCUAACUUCUGGAUAACUGGAACAUUGUUUAUAGUUGGAGGUUACCUCUUCUCUCUGAAUCAUGCACGUUUGGUGGUCUUCAUGGCGACUGUAUAUGCUAUUUAUUGUGUGAAAGCUCGAGUUGGAUGGCAUGGUGUUUUUUUAUUAAUAAACCUUACAUUUUUAUCAAAUGAUGCAUUAAAUUAUUUGCUCCAAUGGUGUGAUAAUAUCAAUGAAAGUACACACUUUGAAGAGCAUAAGGAAUCCGAAACAGUUAUGCAAGAUGAGUUUUCUCCGGAGUGUGAAUACUCAGUUCCUACUGAUGAAUCUGAAAAGUUGCAGUCAAGCAAGUCAUCGAGCAAACCAGCUGUUACUUCAUCUGUUAUCAGUAACCAAAAUGAGUCUUCCAAUAGAAAGGUAGUUAGAGAAGAAACAAGCUCUGUUGAUGAGAUAAGAAGGAUAUCAAAUAGUGUAGAUCAUUAUGAAGCACUAGGAUUUCCUCGUCAUAAACGAAUUGAUACUACAAUUUUGAGAAGGGAAUAUCGGAAGAAGGCCAUGCUUGUUCAUCCUGAUAAAAAUAUGGGAAGUCCUUUGGCAAGUGAAUCAUUUAAGAAGCUUCAGUGCGCUUAUGAGGUUCUUUCUGAUUCAUCAAAAAAGUGGGACUAUGAUGAGCAAUUGAGGAAGGAAGAAUCCAAGACUAGGAGUGUAUGUCAAAAUUCCCAUGGUACUCCUCGUCAGGGAAACCAAGACUAUUGCUCUGAGGAGUCGAGGCGUAUACAAUGCACAAAGUGUGGCAAUUCACAUAUAUGGGUUUGCACCAAUAGGAGUAAGGCUAAGGCCAGAUGGUGUCAGGAUUGUUGCCAAUACCAUCAAGCCAAAGAUGGAGAUGGAUGGGUUGAAUACAAGGGCUCAUUGGCCUUUGAUAGGCCUCAAAAGGUAUGUUCCUCCUAGGGAAAUAAUUUAAUAUGAAAUAUUAUGACUUUAAGUUGGAUUUAAUGUAGUUCUUUAUACAUUACAAAUCUAAAAAUGUAAUGUUUCAGAAAACCAGAAGACACCUUUUCAGUUAUUUCCUAUGCUUUUAAUUUUAUCAAAUUGGUUCAUAGGUUCUUAAUAUUAUUUCAAUUAUAGCCAUGCUGACAUGGCACUGAGGUAGACUUUUGAUGUGGACAAAUAUUAUUGACUCAUGAUGGGUCUUUAUUGACCUAAACGAAUGUGUUUUUUGAAGAACAUAGACCUAAAAAAGGCAUUUUAAGCAGCUUCAUGAAUGAGGAAGUCUAAUGGUUGAAGGAUAGAAUCCUCCAUGCUUAAUCUUAUUGUUUCAUCUCUGGUUCAGUGAGUAAAUGUGUGCUUUAUUCCAUAAUUGAUAUUUAAUUUUGUUUCAUUUAUAGUGAAUUGAUAUCUGUGCAUUUGAUCAUUAUGCUUAUCAGUUUUGGUUUCUCUUUUAUAGGUAGAAAUACCCCGUGCUUUUGUCUGUGCCGAAAGCAAAAUCUUUGAUGUGUCAGAAUGGGCUAUUUGUCAGGUCAGUAGUUCUUUUCUGGUGGAGUCUUGAUGCUCAAGAUUCAUUACCUGUUAAGAACUUACUUCAACUACCUUUCAAGAAUGCAUGCACAAAUCAUGAACUGAACUGUUGGACUUAUGUUAUAUAUAGGCAGAUAACCGAUAGACCCUUGAUGUAAUCAAGCUUUUAUGUUUUAAUAUUUUAGGAGGUAUGUAAUUUCAUUACUUAAAUACACCUUUCUGGAAAGAGGAAAGAAACCAAUGAGAAACAGCAUAAGUAAGGCCAUUUACUGCUGCUGAUCCUAAUUUCAAAUUUGUUAGAUUGUCAUUCACAAGAGUCAAAAUAGCAAUCUUAUGAUCCAGCAAAUACUACCUUUCUUAAACAGCACCAGUGAUAUUAUAGGAUUGAUGUGAUUUACUGUCAUAGAAGAUGGAAAUAAUGUUCUGUAAUUCCUUGCAGCUGUCUUAUAGUAUUGGUUUAUAUGCCUUUAUGCUUUUAUUUGAUUUAUGGAACAGGAUGCGAAUAGUAUAGCUAUUCUUGGCUUUGGUUCAAAAUUUAAUUGUGGAACCAUUAUGCCAUGGAAUAGCUAUUCUACUGUCUCAACUUUUAAUUAAAUUUUUAGAUGUGCUAUUAUAUAUGUAGGAUAGAUAUUAUACAAAUUUGUUGAAUACCAGUUUGUGGAGCCAAUCUCAUUCUAUGAACCAAACAGUGGUAGUAUGGACAAAUUAUUAAAAGAAAACUGUCUUUACAUAAGGAAUAUCAUAUCCGGAAUCUUACAGCCUGAAGACUAUUUGCAGGGAAUGGCAUGUAGGCCUAAUACCCAUAGGCCUAGCUUCCAUGUAAACAUGGUCGGUUUGGAGAAGACGCAACGCUCCAAAUCAAGCAGAUACCCGUGGGAUCUGGAUGCUGAGAUGAUGGAUGAGGAUGAAGAAUUUGAGCUAUGGCUUCAGCAGGCCUUGGCGUCUGGGCUCUUUUGUGAGACCUCCACACGUAGAAAGAGCUGGAGUCCGUUCAAAUUGCAUCAAAAGAAAGGGAAGAAGCAAUGGCGAAGGUCAUCUACUUGAAAGAUUGAGAGGAUUAAUGGAGGAGUACAGAAAUUUUCACAGCCCAUCCCAAAGUAAAAUGGAACUUUGUUUUAGGUGAUUAGUCACAAUCAAGAUCACUUGUUUCCUCAACAACAUGUGACUUGACGAUCCCAGCCAAGGCGGGGUUUAGGGGUGAGCUGGCUUUGACAGCAGCAAAUGUUUUAACCAACAUUUCAGGGCAUUUUUUAGCAUAUAAUAGUUGAUAUUUCCUUGUAGUGCCCAUCAGCCAAAAACCAACUCCCCACCCCUUCUUGAU
rnacentral:misc_RNA from 1 species